AGGACGAACGCUGGCGGCGUGCUUAACACAUGCAAGUCGAACGAGGCGCUUGCGCCUAGUGGCGAACGGGUGAGUAACACGUGAGCAACCUGCCCUUGGCUCUGGGAUAGCCUCCGGAAACGGGGAUUAAUACCGGACAUGACCUUCUCCUGCAUGGGGGAGGGUGGAAAGUUUUUCGGCCAGGGAGGGGCUCGCGGCCUAUCAGCUUGUUGGGGGGGUAACGGCCCACCAAGGCGACGACGGGUAGCCGGCCUGAGAGGGCGACCGGCCACACUGGGACUGAGACACGGCCCAGACUCCUACGGGAGGCAGCAGUGGGGAAUAUUGCACAAUGGGGGAAACCCUGAUGCAGCGACGCCGCGUGCGGGAUGAAGGCCUUCGGGUUGUAAACCGCUUUCAGCGAGGGGCGAAUUCAGACGGUACCUGCAGAAGAAGCGCCGGCUAACUACGCGCCAGCAGCCGC
rnacentral:rRNA from 1 species